CCCCGGUUAGCUCAGUUGGUAGAGCGAUCCACCUGUAAUGGAGAGGUCCCGGGUUCGAUACUUGGACCAGGCG
rfam:Ixodes scapularis strain Wikel colony gcontig_1108379477325, whole genome shotgun sequence.